rnacentral:rRNA from 1 species
CGGACGGGUGAGUAACGCGUGAGGAUCUGCCCUUAGGAGGGGAACAACAGUUGGAAACGACUGCUAAUGCCCCAUAUGCCGAGAGGUGAAAAGUUAUAUCGCCUGAGGAUGAACUCGCGUCUGAUUAGCUAGUUGGUGAGGUAAGGGCUCACCAAGGCGACGAUCAGUAGCUGGUCUAAGAGGAUGAUCAGCCACACUGGGGCUGAGACACGGCCCAGACUCCUACGGGAGGCAGCAGUGGGGAAUUUUCCGCAAUGGGCGAAAGCCUGACGGAGCAACGCCGCGUGAGGGAGGAAGGCCUUAGGGUUGUAAACCUCUUUUCUCUGGGAAGAAUAACUGACGGUACCAGAGGAAUAAGCCUCGGCUAACUCCGUGCCAGCAGCCGCGGUAAGACGGAGGAGGCAAGCGUUAUCCGGAAUUAUUGGGCGUAAAGCGUCC